rnacentral:rRNA from 1 species
GACGCACGCUGGCGGCGUGCCUAAUACAUGCAAGUAGAACGCAGUUGCGAACAGGUGAGUAACGCGUAGGUAACUGCCUGGUAGCGGGGGAUAACUAUUGGAAACGAUAGCUAAUACCGCAUACUACCAGAUGGACCUGCGUUGUAUUAGCUAGUUGGUGAGGUAACGGCUCACCAAGGCAACGAUACAUAGCCGACCGGAGAGGGUGGUCUGCAAAACUGGGACUGAGAAACGGGCCCGACUCCUACGGGAGGCAGCAGGAGGGAAUCUUCGGCAAUGGGGGGAACCCUGACCGAGCAAAGCCGCGGGAGUGAAGAAGGGUUUCGGAUCGUAAAGCUAUGUUGUUAAGGAAGCGGUACUUAAACAGAAAGGGACGGCUAACUACGUGCCAGCAGCCGCGGUAAUUC